rnacentral:ncRNA from 1 species
GUAAGUGUUUGGUGUCAGUUUUGCUGGCUCUAGGAGUGUCAAAGCGAUGAUCGAGGAGUCCUUCUCCAUCUGCCGAUAGAGGGGUGCCUUUGGGAACAUGGGCACAGGUGGUGCAUAGAGUUCAACCAUUGUGUUUAGUUGCCAAUCGUUGAGGUUGGAACCUUGAGUAGACUGUCGGCGGUAAGCCAGAGGAAGGUGAGGAUGACAUCAAGUCAUCAUGCCCCUUAUGCCCUGGGCAACACGUGCUAUAAUGGCCGAGAAAGAGUUAUGAUCUUGUGAGGCUAACUCCAAAAACCCGUCAUUAAUUCGGAUUGUUGGUUGCAACUCGCCUGCAUGAAGCCGAAAUCACUAGUAAUUGUAGGUCAGCCAUAUGGUGGUGAAUUCGUU